rnacentral:rRNA from 1 species
UGCCAGCAGCCGCGGUAAUACGGAGGGUGCGAGCGUUAAUCGGAAUUACUGGGCGUAAAGCGCAUGCAGGCGGUUGAUUAAGCGAGAUGUGAAAGCCCCGGGCUUAACCUGGGAACUGCAUUUCGAACUGGUCAACUAGAGUCUUGUAGAGGGGGGUAGAAUUUCAGGUGUAGCGGUGAAAUGCGUAGAUAUAGGAAGGAACAUCAGUGGCGAAGGCGGCCACCUGGACUAAUACUGACACUGAGGUGCGAAAGCGUGGGGAGCAAACAGGAUUAGAUA